UCUCGUGAUGAUCAUUUCUUUUACAAUAUACGCUGGAAAUUACCGGCUGAGAUCAAACUUUGACGAUAUAAAAUGGCUAUUUCUGAUG
rfam:Nectria haematococca mpVI 77-13-4 chromosome 3 genomic scaffold NECHAsca_2_chr3_3_0, whole genome shotgun sequence.